GAUGAACGCUGGCGGCGUGCCUAAUACAUGCAAGUCGAGCGAACAGACGAGGAGCUUGCUCCUUUGACGUUAGCGGCGGACGGGUGAGUAACACGUGGGUAACCUACCUAUAAGACUGGGAUAACUUCGGGAAACCGGAGCUAAUGCCGGAUAAUAUUUCGAACCGCAUGGUUCGAUAGUGAAAGAUGGCUUUGCUAUCACUUAUAGAUGGACCUGCGCCGUAUUAGCUAGUUGGUAAGGUAACGGCUUACCAAGGCAACGAUACGUAGCCGACCUGAGAGGGUGAUCGGCCACACUGGAACUGAGACACGGUCCAGACUCCUACGGGAGGCAGCAGUAGGGAAUCUUCCGCAAUGGGCGAAAGCCUGACGGAGCAACGCCGCGUGAGUGAUGAAGGUCUUCGGAUCGUAAAACUCUGUUAUUAGGGAAGAACAAACGUGUAAGUAACUGUGCACGUCUUGACGGUACCUAAUCAGAAAGCCACGGCUAACUACGUG
rnacentral:rRNA from 1 species